rnacentral:lncRNA from 1 species
AUGUCACAUGGAGUGUUACACACAAUGUCACAGACACCAGGGGCAGUGUUACACAAGUCAGAGAUGCUACAUGGAAUGUCACAUAUGAAGUCCUCGACAUGGUGGGUAUUGGGACACAAAGUCAGAGAUGCCGCCUGGAAUGUUAUACAAGAAGUCAGAGAGGCAAAGGGAAGAGUUAGACAAGAAGUCAGAGACAUCACAGGAAGUGUUACACAUGAAGUCAGAGACACCAGGGNGAAGUCAGAGAUGUGAGGGGUACUGUGAAUCAUGAAAUUAGAGAUGCCAGGUGGAUUGUGACACAUGAGGUCAGAGAUGCCAUGGGGAAAGUUAGACAUGAAGUUUGAGAUGCCUGGUGGAGAGACACAUGAUGUCAAAGAUGCCACACGUUGCUUUAUACACGAAGCUAGAGAAGCCAGUGGUAGUGUGACAUGCAAAGUCAGGGACACCAGGUGGAAAGUGACCUACCAAGUCAGAGGUGCAAGGUGAUGUGUGACACGUGAUGUCUAGGAUUCCAAGGGAAAGUGUUAAAGAUGAAAGCAGAAACACCAUGUGGAGUGUUACACAUUAAGUGAGAGACACCAGUGGGAGCAUCACACAGGAAGUCACAAAUGUCACAUGGAGUGUUACAUACAAAGUCAGAGACACUAAGGGGAGUGUUGCAAAACAAGUCAGAGACGCCACUGGGACUGUGACACACAAAAUCAGAGGUGACAAAGGGAGUGUUACUCAUGAAGUCAAAGACGCCAGGGGUAGUGUUACAGACAAAGUCAGAACUGAGUGGGGGUGUGUUACACAUGAAUUCAGAGAUACCAGGUGGAGUGAUACACACAGAGUCCGAGAUGCUAGGGGUUGUGUUAUAGAGGAAGUCAGAAAGACCACAUGGAGUGUUAGACUAGAAGAAAGAGAAGCCAGGGUGUGUGGGGCACAAGAAGUCAGAGACACCAAGGGGAGUGUUGCACACGAAAUCAGAGGUGACAGUUGGUGUGUGACACAUUAAGUCAGAGAUGCCAUGGGGAGUAUUACCCACAGACUCAGAGACACCAGGGGCAGUGUGACACACGAAUUAAGAGAUGCCAGGGGGAGCAUUACAAACAAAGUCAAAGAAAUGAGGGGUAGAGUAAAAAACAAAGUCCACAAGGGGAGUGUGAUCCACUAAGUCACUGACACCAGGUGGAGUGUUAGUCACAAGAGGAAAGACACCACAUUGGAGUAUUAUGCACAAAGUGAAACACACCAGGAAGAGUGUUACACA